rnacentral:rRNA from 1 species
UUGACCUCGAAUCAGGUAGGAAUACCCGCUGAACUUAAGCAUAUCAAUAAGCGGAGGAAAAGAAACCAACAGGGAUUGCCCCAGUAACGGCGAGUGAAGCGGCAACAGCUCAAAUUUGAAAUCUGGCUCUCGGGCCCGAGUUGUAAUUUGUAGAGGAUGCUUUUGGUGAGGUGCCUUCCGAGUUCCCUGGAACGGGACGCCACAGAGGGUGAGAGCCCCGUCUGGUUGGACACCGAGCCUCUGUAAAGCUCCUUCGACGAGUCGAGUAGUUUGGGAAUGCUGCUCUAAAUGGGAGGUAUAUGUCUUCUAAAGCUAAAUACCGGCCAGAGACCGAUAGCGCACAAGUAGAGUGAUCGAAAGAUGAAAAGAACUUUGAAAAGAGAGUUAAACAGUACGUGAAAUUGUUGAAAGGGAAGCGCUUGUGACCAGACUUGGGCUUGGUUGAUCAUCCGGGGUUCUCCCCGGUGCACUCUUCCGGCUCAGGCCAGCAUCAGUUCGCCCUGGGGGACAAAGGCAGCGGGAAUGUGGCUCUCUCCGGGGAGUGUUA